UACGGAGGGGACUAGCGUUGUUCGGAAUUACUGGGCGUAAAGCGCACGUAGGCGGAUUUGUAAGUCAGGGGUGAAAUCCCGGGGCUCAACCUCGGAACUGCCUUUGAUACUGCAAAUCUCGAGUCCGGAAGAGGUGAGUGGAAUUCCUAGUGUAGAGGUGAAAUUCGUAGAUAUUAGGAAGAACACCAGUGGCGAAGGCGGCUCACUGGUCCGGUACUGACGCUGAGGUGCGAAAGCGUGGGGAGCAACGGG
rnacentral:rRNA from 1 species